AGGCUGAGUGAGCACAGGGCCGCUAAGGAAGAUGCCACGUUUUCAGGCCCUUCCAGAUAAAGAAGAGACCUGUGGUUAAAUAGACACACCCACCUUCAGAGGCGUGGCACAACCACCUGUUACUUCAGCCGGCCCUUCGGGGGUGGCCUCAACCUGGACACCCCCUCACAGGAGUGCUGGCAAAUUUUUCCCUCACCAGAUUUCCAGGGGUGGUUUACUGCCCUUUGGAACAGCGCUCCAGGCAACUGCCCGCAUGUCCUGGCCCUAAUCCAGCGUGCAAACGUAUUUGUCCGCAGAGAUGGGAACUGCUCACCACUGUGACCAGACUUCUUCUAGACGUCUCCACUGGCAUGCCACACUGGGACUUCAUACUGACCCUGUCAGGUGUCCGCCUUUUUCCUUUUGACGUGGCUCAAUGUUGGCGUUGCUAUCUGACCCAAGGUGCAUGAUAGAAAGGUGUUCGCGGGGGUGAGAAUGGCACGCUGUGUGAGCCCAUCCUCCAGAGAAAGAGCACCAGUGGGGGCUGCGUGGAUCCACAGAAACAGAUGGAUGAGGAGGGGCUGGCUCGCGAGACUGUGGAGGCUGAGAAGGCCCACAGUGUGCCAUCUGCAAACCAGAGGCCCAGCAAAGUUGGCGGUGCAGCUCCAGUCCACGCCCGAGGCCUGAGAAGCAGGACACCAGUGUUUGCGGGCAGGAGAACACGGAGGUCCCAGCCCAGCGGGGAGCCAAUUCAUCCCUCCUCCACCUUUGUUCUAUUUGAGCCCCCAUGGAUUGGCGACGUCCUCCUACACUGGGGUCACCUCCUUCAGGAAGCCUUCCUGGAUCAGAAUGCAUCUGGGUGGAGAGCCCUUUGUCUGCAUUCGCACAGUGCCCUGCCCUUCCCUGCCCAGCCUGGACCGUGUCUGGACAUUAAUGCACCAAACUCAAGUUGUGGUUUCGUGUCUGUGUCUGGAGGCUGUGAGCUCCCUGAGGAAUCCAAGAAGGUGUGUGAGAAGGAAGCCUGGAGCUGGCAAGAGAAGGCGUGCUGGCUCUCUUCUCUCCACUCACAAGCUGCUGGAGCCGACACCUUCACCUGUGGGGAAGAAGGGAUCCCUGCCCUCCUUGGGAUGCCUAUGGUGUCCCACAGAAACGUCUGCAGGCACGUUCUCAAAGGACUGCAGUCCUUUCCAGGUUCUUUUGCUUCUAAAUCUCGGAGCCAGGGGGUGAUGAAGUCCUCGCGGGUGGAGGAGUCGGCAGAGGUCCUGCGGCUCGAGAGAAAUCCCGUCGUGCCUAGAAGCCACGUGUCCUGCCUUCGUGUCCGGAAGCCGGUCCUCCCUGUCACAGGGUUCCCAUCCUCAUCUGCUGCUGUAGAAGGAAAGAGCACGGAGAGUCACGACUGGGAGGCCUCGUGCACCAUUUCAUUUCUGCUCACAUCCUGCCGGCUGGAGCUCAGUGAUGUGGCCACACUGCCAGGGAUGCUGGGAGCAGCUGCUCUGCUUUGGACACAAAGCACUUCUGCAUCAGGUGACAGCAGCUGGGCCCCCCCGGUACAUAGCUGUAGACUCUGGCUGAGCCACGUGGGACGCCGCUUCAGCAUGGAUUGACAAGCGGUGCCAGGUCCACGCCCAGGACCCGAACCCGUGAAACCCUGGGCCUCCAAAGUGGAGCAUGUGAACCUAACCACUUGGCCACAGGGCCAGCCCCUAAACAACUUUCUUAAGAAAUAUGUUCAUAAUAAUAAAGAGUUGGAAGAAUAUUGGAAGUAUUUUAAAAAUAACCUGAUUUGGGGAAUUCUGGUUUGUUGCCUCCAAAUAUGGAAGAGGACUGUCUCCUGGGGAUUUGGAAGCUCUCUAGUCCGCCUUAGAAAUAGCUGCUGCGCCUCAACUAAUGGUGGGCGCCUCCAUCUCCAAUCCCUCAGUCUCCCUCUGGGGCUGAAAGUGCGACCGUGGCGGGCCGAGUUGACUCGCCUAGGUGGGAGUUCAGCUCUGUCCUUAGCCAGCCGUGCAACCUUGGGCAAGUCGUGUCACCUCUGCAGGCAGUGUCCUCACCCCGUUCCUGUGCUGAGUGUGUGGGGGGGACCUCACUCUCACUCUCUUCCAGCCCUGCCGUCGGCGACCUGACCCCUCUCCCUUAGGCUCCCUUCCUCAGUGCGGGUGCUCUGUGGCCUACCUCCAGCCCGGCUGGCUGCGGGGCAGGCUGCUCCUUGCCCCCAGGGACUGUUGUUAGGCAGGAUUCAUUUGCUUCUUGAUGCUGUGCAGGUCCAUUAUGUACAUUUUUGCUUCACCCUCAGCACGACCCUAUGAGGGAAACUUAACCCUGUUUUACAGAUGAGAAAGCUGAGGCUCAGAGAG
ensembl:lncRNA